CGGGUGCACUGAUCCGGCCGGGCCUUUCCCUCUGUGGAACCCCAUGGCCUUCACUGGCUGUGCGGGGGAAACAGGACUUUUACUGUGAAAAAAUUAGAGUGCUCCAGGCAGGCCUAUGCUCGAAUACAUUAGCAUGGAAUAAUAGAAUAGGACGCGUGGUUCUAUUUUGUUGGUUUCUAGGACCGCCGUAAUGAUUAAUAGGGACAGUCGGGGGCAUCAGUAUUCAAUUGUCAGAGGUGAAAUUCUUGGAUCUAUUGAAGACUAACUACUGCGAAAGCAUUUGCCAAGGAUGUUUUCAUUGAUAAGGAACGAAAGUUAGGGGAUCGAAGACGAUCAGAUACCGCCGUAGUCUUAACUAUAAACUAUGCCGACUAGGGAUCGGACGAUGUUAUUUCUUGACGCGUUCGGCACCUUUCGAGAAAUCAAAGUGCUUGGGCUCCAGGGGGAGUAUGGUCGCAAGGCUGAAACUUAAAGAAAUUGACGGAAGGGCACCACCAGGGGUGGAACCUGCGGCUUAAUUUGACUCAACACGGGGAAACUCACCAGGUCCAGACACAGUGAGGAUUGACAGAUUGAGAGCUCUUUCUUGAUUCUGUGGGUGGUGGUGCAUGGCCGUUCUUAGUUGGUGGAGUGAUUUGUCUGCUUAAUUGCGAUAACGAACGAGACCUUAACCUGCUAAACAGCCCGUACUGCUCUGGCAGUUCGCCGGCUUCUUAGAGGGACUAUCGG
rnacentral:rRNA from 1 species